AGAGUUUGAUCCUGGCUCAGAACGAACGCUGGCGGCGUGGAUAAGACAUGCAAGUCGGACGAGAUUUUUCGUUGUAGCAAUACGAUGGAAAGUCUAGUGGCGAACGGGUGCUUAACACGUGGGCAACCUGCCAUGAAGUGGGGGAUAGCUCGUCGAAAGGCGAAUUAAUACCGCAUGUGAUUAGAGAGGACAUCCUUUCGAAAUUAAAGUCGGGGCAACCUGACGCUUCUUGUGGGGCCCGCGGCCUAUCAGCUAGUUGGUGAGGUAACGGCUCACCAAGGCUUUGACGGGUAGCUGGUCUGAGAGGACGACCAGCCACACUGGGACUGAGACACGGCCCAGACACCUACGGGUGGCAGCAGUCGAGAAUUUUUGACAAUGGGGGAAACCCUGAUCGAGCGACGCCGCGUGGAGGAUGAAGGUCUUCGGAUUGUAAACUCCUGUCAUUGGGGAACAAUGCACAGAUAUUAACUGUAUUUGUGUUGAUAGUACCCGAAGAGGAAGGGACGGCUAACUCUGUGCCAGCAGCCGCGGUAAUACAGAGGUCCCAAGCGUUGUUCGGAUUCAUUGGGCGUAAAGGGUGCGUAGGCGGCGCGGUAAGUCGGGUGUGAAAUCUCGGGGCUUAACUCCGAAACUGCAUUCGAUACUGCCGUGCUUGAGGACUGGAGAGGAGACUGGAAUUUACGGUGUAGCGGUGAAAUGCGUAGAUAUCGUAAGGAAGACCAGUGGCGAAGGCGGGUCUCUGGACAGUUCCUGACGCUGAGGCACGAAGGUCAGGGGAGCAAACGGGAUUAGAUACCCUAGUAGUCC
rnacentral:rRNA from 1 species